UUGCUAUCUAAUCCUUUAUUUAUUUCAAAUUCAUGGGUACAGUCUUCUAAUAUAUUUACAAAGUUAUUUUCUUCUAGGUCUAAUUUUUUUAAUCCUAUUUCAUUUAUUAAUUCCUCUUCUUCUGAUUCUGAGGUUUCUAUUUGAGCUUCGUCUACUCCUACACUUACUAUAGAAUAUAUACUUUCGUUGUUUGACAUGUAUUCAUCUACAUUUAUUAGAGUUUCU
rnacentral:lncRNA from 1 species